rnacentral:lncRNA from 1 species
GCACCAGGGCCCCUGAGCCUGGCUUGUCAAACUCUGCUGCUGCCAGCCAAUGGUCUCUCUGCCCUACAGAGGAGGAGCAGAGGCGGGCCGCCCACCUCAAUGGGCUGCAGGUAUCCACAGGCUCGGCUGUGGCCUGCUCAACCCCGGUGCAGUGCCUGUCCCCAGAAUGUAGCGAACAGCCCCUGCAGAACCAGCCUAGCCCCACAGCUGGGGUAGGGGAUGAAGAACGCCAACAAAUUGUGCCUCACACAGAAGUGGUAGACCUCAAGGCCCAGCUGCAGG